rnacentral:rRNA from 1 species
GAUGAACGCUGGCGGCGUGCCUAAUACAUGCAAGUCGAGCGAACGGACGAGAAGCUUGCUUCUCUGAUGUUAGCGGCGGACGGGUGAGUAACACGUGGAUAACCUACCUAUAAGACUGGGAUAACUUCGGGAAACCGGAGCUAAUACCGGAUAAUAUUUUGAACCGCAUGGUUCAAAAGUGAAAGACGGUCUUGCUGUCACUUAUAGAUGGAUCCGCGCUGCAUUAGCUAGUUGGUAAGGUAACGGCUUACCAAGGCAACGAUGCAUAGCCGACCUGAGAGGGUGAUCGGCCACACUGGAACUGAGACACGGACCAGAAGCCUACGGGAGGCAGCAGUAGGGAAUCUUCCGCAAUGGGCGAAAGCCUGACGGAGCAACGCCGCGUGAGUGAUGAAGGUCUUCGGAUCGUAAAACUCUGUUAUUAGGGAAGAACAUAUGUGUAAGUAACUGUGCACAUCUUGACGGUACCUAAUCAGAAAGCCCCGGCUAACUACGA